AGAAUUUUAAAUUUUGCUGCAUAUUUAUAUGUUGUUGUUCCAAGGACAUCUCGCAUUCAAUUUAAUUAAAUCAUCACUCAUCUUCCCAAGUCUGCUUUCUGUUUUGUGUUCCCCUCUCACAGAGCACAGCUGCUGGCCAUGUAAGCCAAAUUCAGAAGUAUCAUUUUUCUCCUCCGACCUCCACCUCAUAACGCUCUGCUGACCUUCCAAAUCAUCAGGGAGUUGGUUUCUCUUCUGGUAGCAGGUACUGAUGGCCUCCUACCCAGCAAACUUUCCCUCUGCCUUUGCUCUUGCUGAGAAAACUUCAGUUUUGUUCCCGUGUCUACAAGAUGCUGGAAAGCUGUGUGCCUGAGGGAACCUGGCGUCUGCCCCAAAGGAUAAAUUGAUUAGCCAGCAGCUGCUUCCCAUCGUUCUGCUGCCCUUCAUCGUGCACUGGCCCUUCACCUUCUUCUCUAGGUUUACUUCCAGACUCAUCCAGCACAGGCAGGGGUACUGGACACCCUUCUUUUUUUUAUGAAACACACACACAACAUUGCAAGCUAGAUCAUGGAUGCUAGAUUAGAUCAUAGAUGUUAGAUUACAUCUGGUUAGAAAGGGAGAACUUUUCUGUUUAGGGGGCAAAAAAUAUGCAACCUGCUAAAAGCAGAACUAGCUGGGUAUUGUGGGAUUGACUACGGGUCCUCCAUAUUCUGAAAUUCUAGAGGUUCGAUUAUCUCAUCUGCAACAUUUCUGAUGUGUGGUUACUAGAGUUGCACUCUGGAAUAACUGGAGAGAGACUCGCUUGGGAAACACACACAACUAACCCCAUCAUUUACUUAGCGUUUGAGCAAGUGUUACACAGUGCUUUGUCAUAGCCUUGUUAAUUGACGCUUGCCCAGGGCCAGGAAUAAUUUACUGGACAAGACAGAAAGGCUCUUAUUUUAUUCAUUUCUAAUGUAUCCUUGGCACGGAGCACAAUAACCUGCAGAGCUUUCAAUAUUUCUCCCUAAAUUUUUAUUUUGAAAAACUUCAAGGACGUUGGAGUCAUCGUAUCCUUCACCUGGAAUCACCAGCUGUCAACAUCUUCCCAUGUGCGGCCCUCUCCCUCUCUGCUCUCCCCACGUGAACGCACAGCCCAUAUUUCUUUCGGCUGAACGACCCGGAAACCAGCACAAAAGCUAAGUGGCUUAGUGCCCACACGGUGAGUGGGAAGGGAGAGUCGUCAAACAGGGCUGCAGACCAAGCAAGUCUUGCACUUCCUGGACUCAGUUAGCUCUUCUGCCUACUGGACAGACGGGACUUCGGGAUCUUCAAGGCAUUAUCAUUGUAAAGGUUCAUUCACAUCUGCAGUUAACUGCUAUAUACUCAGUUAUUCUGCCCCUAAUUCUACAUGCUUAUGCCUUGUGCAAGAUCAAAUUCAUAUUUUUUUCCUAACUUUAGAGAUAGGUUGGAACUGUGGAAAUGACCCCACACACCUGUCACCUGGCUGGCGGGAGCCUUUAGGUCCUGUGGCCCAUGUGUCUGUAGCUCGGGUCAGGUGUGGCUCUCCAAAGUCCUUCUCAGUGGCUGUAGGCCUCCCUGGUAACUCAUGAGGUCACCAAGCCCACCUUUUGGCUUCAGAAAUCCCUUCCUUCAGCCUCCCUCAGAGCUGGAUGUCUGUGCUGGAACUCAGAGCUCAGAGAUGCUCAGGAUGGAGACUUCCGGUGUCCUUCUGUCCAUGUUUACGCCCGUCGUGGCUCCUGAACAACACCAGGCUGUAACAUCCCUCGACCCCUUGCCUUCUGCCUACCUGGUUAUCAGUUGCUCACAUUGCCUGGGCAGUCACUUCAGCACUGCCCUUAAAUUUCCUCCAAACCCACAGCCUUCCCAAUUAUACCAGGUGUACUUGCACCAUUAUUUAGUUGCAAAUACUGCACGGCAGAGUGACAUAAGAUAGAAUGUAGAACAGCUGUGCAGGGAAACAAAAAUCAACUUGUGAGCAUUCUGCAAGGUGAGGGUACACUUUUUAGAAUAAAAAUGUGUAUUUCACUAUGUUGUAACUUGACCAAAAAACUUGUAUACUUGGUCAUACAGGAUAAUAAGGACGGGUCCUCCCAGUGGAACGAGAUCCUUGCCAACUUGCCCAUGUGAGCCUGAAAAUGUGAUACAUGAAUCGUAAAGCCUUAAUGUAUUGAGGACUGCAGAUAAGUACGUGUCCGUGUGGUGUAGUUCGAAGUUUAAGCUGAAGGAGGAACACAGUGAUUAUAGAUCACAGCUGUGACCCUGCAGAGAGUCUUGGGUAUCCAGAGUCAUGUUUGGAGAAAACAGACCGCAUGAGCUGAAGAGAGAACAAAUGCGAGUGUUUCCGGGUUUAUGGUGAUUAUGUCACAAAAGACAGAAAGGGAAGAGACAUGGAAGCCCUGGAGCAGGAGCACUUCCACAUAUCCUUCUGAUGCCCAUUCACAACCUCUCAAAAUGUGCUUUAAACCAGUUCUACUGAAACUUAUAUUGUUUUCAUUAACUAGGUGAGUAAUUUGUUAUGGAUAUGGCAAAUAAAUCAUAUGUUUUAAGUUUUAUGAAGUAUAAUAUCAUGUACUAAAAAUGCGUCCUGGGAGAUUUGGGAUGCAGAUUAAAAGCGAGAGCCUCAGGGCUUUCCAAGGGACCCUUCUUUAUGGGUUGGUGUGGUGGGAAGGAUAUAGGCUUUGAUCUACAUCCAAGUACUUGCAUUUAUUAAUUAAAUUAGCAGAAGGAAGUUACUCGAUUUUCCUCAGUUUCGUUAUUCUUAUCUAUAAAAUAGAGCUAAAAAUAAUAUCUGCCUCAUGAUGCUGUGACAAUCAAUUGAACUAAUACAUGUGAAAGCACUCUGUAAGAUUUGAAGUCCAAUAAAAAAUUACUUUUUAGAGUAAGUGCACAACAAUGUUCAUUCAUCAACAUAGAAACAAUAGUUGGCUAUAUUUAUAGUACCACUCUUCCAGAUAGAAAUACUUGUAAGGUACCUAACUGUAAAUGACUAAUAUUAAGUGUUGGUGGUUAAUGUAACCAUAAGGCUAGUUCACACUUUGAAGUAAGAAUUAUUAGAUUUCAUGGAAAGAAAACUCAAUUUCUUUUCAGGGGGUUAUCAAAUGUUUAAAAUUUGUAUAAAACUGGAUUAAUAAACCAAGCAAGGCAAACUGAAGGAGAAUCCACUGUGACAUGACAAGUUUCAGGCUAGCAAUGAACUCUCACUUCCCAGAACCCUAAAGAUCACGGAAACUGUCUGAACGUCUGCUCUCCGCUGCAGUCACCCAGGGAGCCUCAAAAGAGCCUGCUGACUGAGUCUCCCCCAGAAAUUGUGCUGUUAUCGGUCUGAAAGGAAGCCCUAGUCAUUGUGAUUUAAAAAAAAAAAAAAUACCCCAGAUGAUUAUACUAUGGAACCAAAACUGGAUCAUUGAUGUGGUCUCAACAUUUGCCGGUCUCUACCGACUGGAAGACAUAAAUGCGUAACUUUUUGGUACUAUUUUUCCAGGGACAGAGAGAUCACCUUUUACUUAAGGACGCAUAGAAGGGAGCAAGAAGGCUGGAAGAAGAUAUAAAAGAAUCUCACCAGCAUCUGAAUAUCCUCACCUUCCUCGCUUGAGGGUGUAUGUUUUGUGCACUCGAUUUCUGGAUAGUUUGAACUGCAGAAUGGGAGGAAUGGGUAAGAAGAAAGAAAAACUGAUGAACAAGAAGGAUGCAGGAGAAGGAGGUUGUUUAGGACAACUCAUGGUAGCUAAACCUUGGAAGCAGGCUCUAUGGCCACCAACAGAUGAACAACAGUACUACUCUGUCACAAAGAAGGAUGAACUUGAGUAAUUGAUGCUCCGAAUCUAUGCUUGAUGAUCACCAUGAAGAGAAAUCUUCCCCAAACCUAAUGACACACUGGCUGAGGUGGCCCGUGUGGAAACCCUUCAGCUAAUCAGCAAGACUUAAGGCGUAUUCUUCUUCUGGUGGCAGUAAGACAGAAAAGAUGCAGAC
rnacentral:lncRNA from 1 species